AAUUUCAUCAUCCUCCGGAACGAUCAAAUGACAGGAGCAAAUAGCGCGUAACAGCGGAGAGGAAAUGUUGCACGAUACGUCGCGCCUUUAGGAUUCACUUUUUAAGUGAAAGUUCCGCUUGCCUGGACGGACCUGAACGAGAAGAAAAUUAGUCAGUUGCAUGGGGAAAAUUCACGCCUUAUCUACGGGAACCAAUUUCCACGCCAGUUUCCUUAAGUAUCUGCAACCUUGUUAACGUUUUCCAGCCCGAAUGGUACGCCCAACUAAACACGAACGUUUCAGAUGCGUGUCGCGGACGCUUUUACCAAAUACUCCACUUACACUUUCCACUUUACACUGAAUGGAUCCUUAAAGAAGAAAAUUCAGCGUGCUUCACGGUCUGCCAAGAAGCCGCCGAGUGUAGCAAUAGAAGUCCAGAAAGGGACAUUAAAGAGCGGAGAAACGAUUUCGUCGGGGCAAGAAGGAGACGUAUCAUCCUCGACAGCCAAGGUGCUGGAGUCUGGAAAAUGUUGCGUUAACCUACUUCGAGUCCUUUGCAUGACACGGCGCAGGAAAUUUCGCAAGCUAUGCUUGUGUACGCUCGUAUAACGAGCUUAACGA